GCGGAAGUGGCGGAACAGGCAGACGCUGCAGUUUGAGGGGCUGUUGCCCAGGACGGGCGUAAGGGUUCGAGUCCCUUCUUCCGCACCA
rnacentral:tRNA from 1 species